GUUGUCGUAGCCGAGUGGUUAAGGCGAUAGACUUGAGAUCUUUUGGGAUUUUCCGUGCAGGUUCGAAUUCUGCCGACAACG